CUGGGUCCCAGGGUCCACCUUCAUGUUCCACCAAUGAGUUUGUUCACAGGGGGUGGAGUGUAUAAGGGAUGUCCUGAUAUGUGUGUAAGGAAUGCAUUGUGUGAAAUUGUGUUUGUAUGUGUAAGGGCUGCAAGGUGUGUUUCUGUGUAUGUACGGGAUGUAGUGUGUGCGUGUGUAAGGGGUGCAUUGAGUGUGUAAGGAAUGCAUUGUGUGUUUCUGUGUGUGUAAGGGAUGCAUUGUGUGUAAGGGUUGCAUUGCUUGUGUGUGUGUGUGUCUAAUUCAUUGUGUGUGUAAUGCAUUGUGUGUUUUUCUGUGUGCAAGGGGUGCAUUGUCUUUGUGUGUAAGGGGUGCAUUG